rnacentral:rRNA from 1 species
GAUAAACGCUGGCGGCGUGCCUAAUACAUGCAAGUCGAGCGAACGGACGAGAAGCUUGCUUCUCUGAUGUUAGCGGCGGACGGGUGAGUAACACGUGGAUAACCUACCUAUAAGACUGGGAUAACUUCGGGAAACCGGAGCUAAUACCGGAUAAUAUUUUGAACCGCAUGGUUCAAAAGUGAAAGACGGUCUUGCUGUCACUUAUAGAUGGAUCCGCGCUGCAUUAGCUAGUUGGUAAGGUAACGGCUUACCAAGGCAACGAUGCAUAGCCGACCUGAGAGGGUGAUCGGCCACACUGGAACUGAGACACGGUCCAGACUCCUACGGGAGGCAGCAGUAGGGAAUCUUCCGCAAUGGGCGAAAGCCUGACGGAGCAACGCCGCGUGAGUGAUGAAGGUCUUCGGAUCGUAAAACUCUGUUAUUAGGGAAGAACAUAUGUGUAAGUAACUGUGCACAUCUUGACGGUACCUAAUCAGAAAGCCACGGCUAACUACGUGCCAGCGGCCGCGGUAAUACGUAGGUGGCAAGCGUUAUCCGGAAUUAUUGGGCGUAAAGCGCGCGUAGGCGGUUUUUUAAGUCUGAUGUGAAAGCCCACGGCUCAACCGUGGAGGGUCAUUGGAAACUGGAAAACUUGAGUGCAGAAGAGGAAAGUGGAAUUCCAUGUGUAGCGGUGAAAUGCGCAGAGAUAUGGAGGAACACCAGUGGCGAAGGCGACUUUCUGGUCUGUAACUGACGCUGAUGUGCGAAAGCGUGGGGAUCAAACAGGAUUAGAUACCCUGGUAGUCCACGCCGUAAACGAUGAGUGCUAAGUGUUAGGGGGUUUCCGCCCCUUAGUGCUGCAGCUAACGCAUUAAGCACUCCGCCUGGGGAGUACGACCGCAAGGUUGAAACUCAAAGGAAUUGACGGGGACCCGCACAAGCGGUGGAGCAUGUGGUUUAAUUCGAAGCAACGCGAAGAACCUUACCAAAUCUUGACAUCCUUUGACAACUCUAGAGAUAGAGCCUUCCCCUUCGGGGGACAAAGUGACAGGUGGUGCAUGGUUGUCGUCAGCUCGUGUCGUGAGAUGUUGGGUUAAGUCCCGCAACGAGCGCAACCCUUAAGCUUAGUUGCCAUCAUUAAGUUGGGCACUCUAAGUUGACUGCCGGUGACAAACCGGAGGAAGGUGGGGAUGACGUCAAAUCAUCAUGCCCCUUAUGAUUUGGGCUACACACGUGCUACAAUGGACAAUACAAAGGGCAGCGAAACCGCGAGGUCAAGCAAAUCCCAUAAAGUUGUUCUCAGUUCGGAUUGUAGUCUGCAACUCGACUACAUGAAGCUGGAAUCGCUAGUAAUCGUAGAUCAGCAUGCUACGGUGAAUACGUUCCCGGGUCU